rnacentral:rRNA from 1 species
UACGAAGGGGGCUAGCGUUGUUCGGAAUUACUGGGCGUAAAGCGCACGUAGGCGGACUACUAAGUCAGGGGUGAAAUCCCGGGGCUCAACCCCGGAACUGCCUUUGAUACUGCGGGUCUUGAGUCCGAUAGAGGUGGGUGGAAUUCCUAGUGUAGAGGUGAAAUUCGUAGAUAUUAGGAAGAACACCGGUGGCGAAGGCGGCCCACUGGAUCGGUACUGACGCUGAGGUGCGAAAGCGUGGGGAGCAAACAGG